UACGUAGGGCGCAAGCGUUAUCCGGAAUUAUUGGGCGUAAAGAGCUCGUAGGCGGUUUGUCGCGUCUGCCGUGAAAGUCCGGGGCUCAACUCCGGAUCUGCGGUGGGUACGGGCAGACUAGAGUGAUGUAGGGGAGACUGGAAUUCCUGGUGUAGCGGUGAAAUGCGCAGAUAUCGGGAGGAACACCUAUGGCGAAGGCAGCUUACUAGGCUGUAACUGACGCUGAGGCACGAAAGUGUGGGGAUCAAACAGG
rnacentral:rRNA from 1 species